rnacentral:lncRNA from 13 species
CACUCACCCGAAGAAAGGAGAAAGAAAAGACAAAAAUAAAGUUUUCCCCUCUCGUUUUACAUUAAACUUAGCUACUACAAUUAUUCUGAAACUGUGCUGCUUUGCUGGACAGUGCUGGACCCAUCAGAGUUUCAAUACUGGCAAGAGAAAGGCCAGUCCUAUGGGGAGCCCUCUUGGAAAAGAUGAAGCACUGGACAUUACAAACUAACUACUUUCAGCCCCUGGAUGAAUCUAGAAGUAUAUUACCUGACUCUUAUGGUGAUGGGGAUUUUCUAGGCCAGACUGGCAUCUUUCUCAAGUUAUAAAAAGGCCCAAACAAAUUUAAGAAGCUACAAAUGCUAGGAAGGUAAGUGUUGAUCCGUGUAACAAAGUAGUUGAAUGGUAGAGCAUUCUAGAGGUACAAAUUUGAUAGUUUUAUAUCGCAGGUCCCACCACUGGUUGUUGGGGGCCAAGCGGGGAAGGAAAGGAAUUUAGGAAAUAAU